UCGUUCGGAAAGCCGACCUACUCACUGCCAAUUUUCACGCACUCGCUUAUAUGUAGACCGAUCGUAGCACAACCACAACGACGUGAAUACAAGCCAGCACCCGAUUAGAUGGAAGCUAUACUAGCACCAAGAGUUGCCCCAUUGGUAGCUAGCAAGUCCAAAUUCAAAAGCACCGAACUUUAAUAUAUCCACGGUGGAUUGUGUAGCCUAUCAUACAACAAGGCGCAAUUUGUGCACACGCUUGCGCGCGAUUUUCAUUUUGCCAGUCAGUAUUUGCCCAUAGGUCACUUGGCAACAGAUCCAGCAGCACACUGAGGACAAGUCCACAGCACACUACUACUAACCUGACCAAACAAACCGUUCGCUAAACUUAGAUGCUUGCGCAUCCAAGAUCAACUGGUUCCAUGGACAAUUGUCUAACUGGUUGCAGUGUACGCUUACAUUGGCUUGGCACGAGAAUACGCCAGCAACCCGAAGGUUGCAAGCUGAACCCGACCUAGCUCGACGAAACGACUUCGUGGCUCCGAUUCGUUUGCCAAUUAACGGUUCACGCCCUCUAACUCUCUCUGCAAAGUUCUAUUU
rnacentral:rRNA from 1 species